rnacentral:tRNA from 1 species
GGAGGGCUGUGACUCAGUGGAGGAGCAUCUGCUUGGCGUGCAGGAGGUCCUAGGUUCAAUCCCCAGCAUCUCCA